AGGGGCGUUCAUGUCUGACCAAUCUAGUGGCCUCCUAUGAUGGAGUGACACCACUGGUGGACAAAGGGAGGGAAACUCAGGUCACCCACCUGGACUUCUGCAAGGUCUUUGACAUGGUCCUGACCACAUCCUUAUCUCUAAAUUAGAGAGGAAUACUUACAGUGCCAUGUCCACAUAGGUGUGGUAAUUCCACAACAUCUCCGAAGUUCUGUAGCAACAGCAUGAAUGUAUCUUAACAUCACAGUACUUGCCCCCGAAAGAGUGGCUGAUUCUCAACAGGGUUUUCUACUGUUGCUUCUUAAGUUCAACAGAGUAAGGAAAGAAUGGGAAGCACACUGUGCAGUUGAAGUCAGAAGAUGUGGAAGGGAGGAGAGGAAAACUGAAGGAAGCACACUUCAGAGACAUUGUGCUGUCUUUGGAGUCUGCAAGCUAAUCCAGGAUUAUACAAACAGAAGAGGAGCUCCAGGAGUGGCUUUUAUUAUUAGCUGACUAUUACUCAGCCCCCGAGGAUAACACAUCUAUUUGGAACUGGAGCUUGUCUGGAUUUGUAGGCUCAACUUAAAGGUCAGGUUUGAGUGAUGGUGUGUGACAAUGAAGAGUGCGGUAAAAACUUAUCUGAGAGCUACUGCAUAUUUGCAACGAUGACUGCUUGAGCCCCUAAAAGAGGAAGAACUCUUUCUGUAUUCCCCUCUUCCAUCAAAAUAAAUAAUUAAUUAAAUAAAUAAAACCACCAAACAACAACAGCAACAACAACAGCAAACAAACAGAAAACAAAACAAACAAAAAAACCACUCCAUUUCUGUAUCGAUGAAUUACAUAAAUAACUCACAAUCUCGAAUCAAACCAUUACUCUUUUCAUUCUGGGUACAUAUGAUAAUGAAGAGUGUGUUAUUGAUUUGUCUGCUUCUUGCAUAGUCACCAUAUCAGUCCUCAUUUUUUCCCCUGUUUCUAGCUCACAGAAAACAUUCAGUUAUGUAUGCUAGGGAAGAAUGAAAUGUGUGGUUGACUAAUCCCUUUACUCUUAAGGGAAAGCAGAAUACUUCUUCACAAGAAAGUAGCCUACAAGCACAUUUUUGUGAGAGCUUUUUUAGUCCUUGCUUUGUUUGUACCCUCAGUUUGCCUGUGACCUUGAGUCAAAUAAUCUUUUCAUUUAUUUCCAGCAUGAGUCCCUGUCUGUCACAAAGCUGCAGAGCAGCUGACAUUGGAAGUACACAAAGCUCCUUCCAGUUGUUUAAAUAGGGCCUUUCCUGCCUUUCCUGAUGAGACAAUGUGUAGCAGAUAUGCAGAGAAAUAUCUACCAUGUGUUCUCCUCAAUGUUCCCAUGUUCUCCUAAGAUGCUGUAAUGUUGACCAGAGACAUAGUUCACUAAAUCCCAAUCCACUGUAGUUUGAGCUGUCUGAGCUAUGCUGAUACCCUUGUGCUCCAUCUAGGAUAUAUGCUGUGUGCGCUGGCACUACUGUCACUGCCUUAAGCACUGCUUUAUAUAGAUCAAGCAUUUCACAAGUACCAAUUCUAUCUAGAGAGAUGCUUGCAAAGCAAUGAGUUUUGUAUAUAUAUAUGUUACAAAAUGUAGAUUUAAUUUAGGAAGAAUGGCUGAUUUAUGUGAUAUUCUUUCAACGGGAAGAUCUCUGUGUGAUCUCUCUUUGCUAUCCUUGUUUUAAUACUUUUUUUUGUUGUUGCUCUAAAUCUUUGUUUUAUAUUUAAUUUAAAACAAACAAACAAACAAAAAACAGCAAUGACUUCUAAUUAUUUGAUCUAAAUUUUUAUCACCUGGGUCUGGGUGAUGCUGCUAAAAACAAAAUGAGAUGCUAGACAACAUAGACUAUAAUUUCUGUUUUGUUUUUCACUAACAAGUACCCUCUGUUGAUGUAGAAAAGAUAAGAAGAGAAAGAUCUAAAGGCUUUUAUAAUAACAUUUUAAUUUAAAGAGCCUACAUACUGAGCAUAACCUGAAAGUACACUCUGAGACAGUUUUGUAUGUUUUAUGUAUUAACCAAUCGUCUGCUUCUUGUGGAGAAAUGGGGUUCAGGAAAACUUUCUGUACCAAUUAUCUUUUUAAACAAUCAUAGAAUCAUAGAAUCACCAAGGCUGGAAAAGAUGUCCAAGAUCAUCCAGUCCAACCAUCCACCCAUCGCCAGU